rnacentral:tRNA from 1 species
GCCGCGGUGGUCCAGCGGUUAGAACGCUGGCCUUGUAAUCCUGGGGUCUCGGGUUCGAUUCCCGGCGGUGCCC